AUGUUAAACCUAGCCAACGCCUCUAAUGACUCCACGCCUUCCCACCUCUCGGUCACGGGUAAGGAGUUGCCAAUAUUACCCGCUCUCACUUCGUCAGUGUCUCAGUCUCUCUCCCUCAGUCGACUUGUCCCUAGAAGAUGAAAUCUCGCUUAUCCCCAGUCUCACUUAAUCGCUCAAACGACCUCACUACGUCAGUCUUGUCUCACUCCCUUUGGUAUUGAAUCGUUGAAACUUGCAAAGCAUCUAAGAGUGUCUGCUUCGACGUCCUCUUUUCAUGGUUCUCUUUCUUUUCCCCUUACUUUCAUUUCAUGAAUUCUUUCUUUUUUUUUUUUCCUUUUCGAUUUUCUAUACACUUGUCUUGGUUUGUUUCUUAUUUGUGCAAAUGGUACUUCGAACUUGGAACGAGCAUGAAGAAAUUAAUGGUGAGGACAAGAAGUUUUCUGCUUAAGAUACAUUUAUGGUCAAUUGUUCAUAUAUCAUGCAUAACAUUCACCAUUAUACCAACAUAAUGUAGCACGGCCAUACUCCAAAUUGAUUCCCCCAGUCUUCUCUCUCAGUGCUUGGGAUUCUCAAAAACCUCCUUGGCCUUCACUCAUCCACUACUCUCCCACGACUUCCACUUGUGUGAAUGUUAAUUGCUUCUUGUCUCUUGGAAUAAGAUUUUUGGGCUGAAUUAUCAUUUGGCCCAGCAAGCCCAUUAGAUACUAUUGGUUAUUUAAUUAUUGUAUUUAGUAGUUGCUAUGCAGAGAAGUGGGAGGUUAUGUUACUCAACAACAUCUGGAAGUGAUGAUGAUGAAAGUGUAGAUGAUAAUGAGAAGCCAAAGAACAAUGCUUUUGAUGAAGAAGUUGACAAUUUUCUUGGCAAUCAGCCUGGUUGGCAGCUACAGGGUGUGGAUCCAAAGAGGGGUUGGAACUUUCCAGUGAUAUGACACAGGCCAUCAUUUAUGGAAAAGUUGGUCAGGCCCCUGUUCAAAAGGUAGUGAGGAAUGGGAAGAAUGUCACAGUCUUUAUAGUUGGGACGGGGGGAUGUUUGACUAGAGAACUGUGGGGGCAAAGGAUUUACCAAAACCUGCUCAGUGGCAUCGGAUUGCUGUGCAUAAUGAUGUUCUCAGGGUUUAUGCAGUACAACAACUUGUAAAGAAGUGAGUGCAGAAAUUUAGAUGAUAAAUUUUGAGAUCAUCCUGGAUAGAUAAACAUGAUACACUCUGGUGUGAGUUCUGUUUUGUUUUUUUUCCCUCAUGCUUGAAGCUUUAAUGCAGCUCUUCAGUUUAUGUUGAGGGUGAAAUUGAGACAAGAGUUUACAAUGACAGAAUCAACGGUGAAAUUAAAAGCAUUCCAGAGAUAUGUGUUCGACAUGAUGUUACAUUGAUCUAUAUUCUAUAUCAUGUUGGCACUCACUACUUGUUUUUGGCCCUUGCUGCUUAUCAUUUCUUUUCAUUCUUAACCUGAUAAUUAAGAUUAUUGAUUCCAUUAAUAUACAGUUUUUCCCUAUCCUUUUCCAUUUUUUAGGUUAGAAUACAUAAUUUUUUUUAAAUGACUGUACAUUCAUGUUUCUCACAGAAUAAGUAUAGCUGAAACUGAUCAAUGGGAUGGUAGAACUUGCUAUUUUGAAAUUUGAGUCUACUCUAACAAAGUAUAUAAAGGACAUUUGUUAAAGAAAAAGGGCACUCAUUAACUGUUUCCAUGGUUUGCUUCUGCAAUAGCAAAGCAUAUAAAUCCUUAUGUUCAAGUCUUUGGGAAAGAAACCAAAAGAAGUAUUGAUUUUAUCAACUCUGUUUUAGUAACCUAAGUAAGGGGCAUCAGAUGCAGAGGUGGAAAAUCUCAGGCAUGCUGUCCAAGAUUGGGAUGAGAGCUUUAUGUGGCUCUGAUAGAUGGGAACUGGGGGAACAAGGGAUCAAUGCUGAAGUUCAAGCUGAACAUUUGCUGAAAUAGGAGUUUACCCUUGCGGCAUCAAUAUUUAUUAGUUUUGCCGUUGCAGCAAUAAGCGUCUUCAUAUAUAGAAGGUGAAGCUACGUUUUUUUGGGUGGCUUAUUCCAUUGCAUCGUUCUUGGUAUACACUUUCAGUGGUGAUUUGACGGGGUGCAAAAUAUUAGGGGUCAGAGGAUCCUAAACAGCUAAAAUCCCUGAAGUAGGCAAAACCAUAGAAUUUUAUUGUAGUUAGCAUCAAAUAUUGUAAUCUUUGUUUGGUUCGUAACAAAUUGAAAGUUCAGCUGCUCUCAACAUUUGCUUCUGCAGGGAAAAUUCGGCGUAUAAGGAGUGGAGAAAGCUUGAGUAAAAUUUCCUUGGAUGAUAUAGCUAACUGUCUUUAACCAUAGUUGUAAGCGGUGGUAUGGUUUAAUUUGUGGUUUCAGCAUGUUCUGUGCUCUAUGGAAGAUAAUACCCUUGGGAUCAUCAAAUGUUUUGGCUACCGUUAACCCAUGUGAUUGUGUGACAAAAGAAAAUCCGUGAGAUUGACGAGCAGAAGCGGCCUAUUCCUUAGAAAGUAUACAAGGCCUUGUGUUGUUUCGAUCUAUAUCAUUCCCCAUUUUCAAGUUGUGUAAUUAUGAUCUGAUUGUUUUUAUUGUUAUCGAUCUCUAGUUUGAUUGUUUUUCUGUAGUUUCUUGAUAUUGUGAUCUAUAAUGAUCCCCCACUAAGAUGCAGAAAUUGUAUGAUUUCUAAUAUAACCUGAUUUGCCUGUUUUUUAA